rnacentral:rRNA from 1 species
UACGAAGGGGGCUAGCGUUGCUCGGAAUCACUGGGCGUAAAGCGCACGUAGGCGGCUUCUUAAGUCAGGGGUGAAAUCCUGGAGCUCAACUCCAGAACUGCCUUUGAUACUGAGAAGCUUGAGUCCGGGAGAGGUGAGUGGAACUGCGAGUGUAGAGGUGAAAUUCGUAGAUAUUCGCAAGAACGCCAGUGGCGAAGGCGGCUCACUGGCCCGGUACUGACGCUGAGGUGCGAAAGCGUGGGGAGCAAACAGG